GUGUCAGCCGCCGCGGUAAGACGGAGGAGGCAAGCGUUGUCCGGAAUCAUUGGGCGUAAAGAGCGCGUAGGCGGUUUUUCAAGUCGUAUGUGAAAACUUCAGGCUUAACCUGACGAUUGCAUAUGAAACUGGAUAACUUGAGUACAGCAGAGGAAAGUGGAAUUCCUGGUGUAGCGGUGAAAUGUGCAGAUAUCAGGAAGAACACCAGUAGCGAAGGCGGCUUUCUGGGCUGUUACUGACGCGGAGGCGCGAAAGCUAGGGGAGCGAACAGGAUUAGAUACCCUGGUAGUCCUAGCCGUAAACGAUGGACACUAGGCGUGGGAAGUUAUCGACGCUUUCUGUGCCGAAGCUAACGCAUUAAGUGUCCCGCCUAGGGAGUACGGCCGCAAGGCUAAAACUCAAAGGAAUUGACGGGG
rnacentral:rRNA from 1 species